rnacentral:rRNA from 1 species
GUGGGGAAUUUUGGACAAUGGGCGCAAGCCUGAUCCAGCCAUUCCGCGUGCAGGAUGAAGGCCUUCGGGUUGUAAACUGCUUUUGUACGGAACGAAAAGCCUCUGGUUAAUACCCGGGGGUCAUGACGGUACCGUAAGAAUAAGCACCGGCUAACUACGUGCCAGCAGCCGCGGUAAUACGUAGGGUGCGAGCGUUAAUCGGAAUUACUGGGCGUAAAGCGUGCGCAGGCGGUGAUGUAAGACAGUUGUGAAAUCCCCGGGCUCAACCUGGGAACUGCUACGGUGACUGCAUUGCUGGAGUGCGGCAGAGGGGGAUGGAAUUCCGCGUGUAGCAGUGAAAUGCGUAGAUAUGCGGAGGAACACCGAUGGCGAAGGCAAUCCCCUGGGCCUGCACUGACGCUCAUGCACGAAAGCGUGGGGAGCAAACAGGAUUAGAUACCCGAGUAGUCC